rnacentral:rRNA from 1 species
CAAUAGCGUAUAUUAAAGCUGUUGCGGUUAAAAAGCUCGUAGUUGGAUUUCGGGUGGGACGCAGCGGUCUCGCAUUGCGUUUGUACUGCUGCAGCCCUCCUUCUUGCCGGGGGCGGCCUCUCGGACUUCACUGUCUGGGGGUCAGAAUCGGCGAUGUUACUUUGAGUAAAUUAGAGUGUUCAAAGCAAGCUUACGCUCUGAAUAUAAUAGCAUGGGAUAACACGACAGGACUCUGGCCUAUCGUGUUGGUCUAUAGGACCAGAGUAAUGAUUAAGAGGGACAGUCGGGGGCAUUCGUAUUCCGUUGUCAGAGGUGAAAUUCUUGGAUUUACGGAAGACGAACAUCUGCGAAAGCAUUUGCCAAGGAUGUUUNCAUUG